ACUCCUACGGGAGGCAGCAGUAGGGAAUCUUCCACAAUGGGCGCGAGCCUGAUGGAGCAACACCGCGUGAGUGAAGAAGGGUUUCGGCUCGUAAAGCUCUGUUGUUAAAGAAGAACACGUAUGAGAGUAACUGUUCAUACGUUGACGGUAUUUAACCAGAAAGUCACGGCUAACUACGUGCCAGCAGCCGCGGUAAUACGUAGGUGGCAAGCGUUAUCCGGAUUUAUUGGGCGUAAAGAGAGUGCAGGCGGUUUUCUAAGUCUGAUGUGAAAGCCUUCGGCUUAACCGGAGAAGUGCAUCGGAAACUGGAUAACUUGAGUGCAGAAGAGGGUAGUGGAACUCCAUGUGUAGCGGUGGAAUGCGUAGAUAUAUGGAAGAACACCAGUGGCGAAGGCGGCUACCUGGUCUGCAACUGACGCUGAGACUCGAAAGCAUGGGUAGCGAACAGGAUUAGAUACCCUGGUAGGAUAGCG
rnacentral:rRNA from 1 species